GACGAACGCUGGCGGCGUGCUUAACACAUGCAAGUCGAACGGUAAGGCCCUUCGGGGUACACGAGUGGCGAACGGGUGAGUAACACGUGGGUGAUCUGCCCUGCACUUCGGGAUAAGCCUGGGAAACUGGGUCUAAUACCGGAUAGGACCACUGCCUGCAUGGGUGGUGGUGGAAAGCUUUUGCGGUGUGGGAUGGGCCGGCGGCGUAUCGGCGUGUUGGUGGGGUGGUGGCCUACCAAGGCGACGACGGGUAGCCGGCCAGGGAGGGUGCAGGGGCGCACUGGGACUACGAUACGGGCCAGAUGGGUACGGGAGACAGGUUUGAGGAAUAUGGAACAAAGGGAGCAAGCGUGGUGCAGCGACGCGGCGUGAGGGAGGACGGCCUUGGAGUUGAAGACGUGCUUAAGGGCGGGAGGCGCACAAGUGACGGUAGGAGCAGAAGAAGGACCGGCCAACUACGUGCCAGCCGCCGCGGUAA
rnacentral:rRNA from 1 species